ACUCCAAUUAAGUUGUUCAGUCUCGUUCAAAUUUCUAAAAGAGUGAUGGCCAACCCUGUCCGCCUUCUCCUCUUGUCUUCCAAUUGCCCUCUGGUUUUCUUCUCUGCUUUGUUUUUCUUCAGCUUUAUCUCUUUAGGGUGGUAGCUCGUCUCCACUCUCCACUGUUUGUAUUUGCUGCAGCCUUUUUGCUUUCAGUUCUUUCCCAUAAACAGAGACCAUGCCAGCAACACCAGACACUUCAUCAGUUACCACCAACACAUAAUGAUUCCUCCUCCGUCUUCUUCGUCUUCUUCUCCACCAUCCGAAAGGGAUACACACGUUUCGAGAUAACGAGGAACUUGAGAGGGGGGAGUCGAUUGCUCCCAAUCUCUUGAAAGCAAUCGAAGAAUCAAGAUAUGUGGUUGUUGUUUUCUCACCAAGCUACGCCGAUUCUGCAUGGUGUUUGGAUGAGAUUGCCAAGGUUGCCGAUUGCAUGAAUGACAUGGGACAAAAAGUCCUUCCAGUAUUCUACCAUGUUGAUCCAUCUGAGGACGUACGAAGGCAAACAGGGAAGCACUUUGGCAAAUCAUUUGAGAAGCACCAAAAGCGGUGUUCCUUGGAAGUAAAGAGGUGGAAAGACGCUCUUUUUCAAAUAGGCAAUCUCGCUGGAUGGCAUCUGCAAGAUGGGUAAGCUAGCUUUCCAUCUAUGUAUAUAAUACUAUACAUACUACAGUAGAUAUACCUUCU